ensembl:lincRNA
GUGGGGUUCAGGAGGCCUGCAAGGGCUGAGAUUACUCUGCUUCACAGAGGGAGAAGACUCUCCAGGGCUGUUACAAGAAACAGUGACCCCUGAGCUUGGUGACUUCUUACUCUCUGGUGCCUACGGCUGAUGGAAGUGGCAGGCUUCUGGGUGGGUGCCCUGAGGGGCUGUCUAACCCUCUGCCCCCAUUUCCCACAUGUGGAGUUGACCAGACAGCCUGAGGUGUUCAGGGGACUUUGUGCUUACAGUUUCUUCCGUGGUCCCUGGGAACAGAAGAGUUUCAGAGGAUUUUAAGCAGCAACAACAACCGAUGAUAAAUAAUACUUUACAUAUGUCCUUCUUGCCAAUGGGCAUCUAAGAGUUGUGCACACACUGACUUGCUCAAUCCUUACAACAACCCUAGGAAAUAGGAGCUGCAAUCAUCCCAGUUUGCAAAAGAAAGAGAGGAAAAGAGUUAGGGAGGAAAGGUAGUGAGUUUGCACUCCAUCAUUACAACCGAAUAUCUGAGAAGUUUGUUCUGUUCGCAUAUUUUGGAGGCUGAAAACCAGGACCAGGCAGCUCCAUGGAUUCAGCGUCUGGUGAGGACCUUGUGGCAAGAUGGCUCAGCAUCAGAAAGCUCUUCCCACCCACACCCAGGAGUCCCAGAGAGUGAUGCCACAGCCUGUUUCUGAGCGCCAGCCAGUGUCCUGCAGGCAACACGUUGCUGAUGCCAGGGAAGCUAAAGGAUGGUCUCCCUCACCUCAGAGCCACUCAUCCCACCCUACUUGCUCUUCCCAAGGCCGUCCUGGAAGUCUCUUCGGCGCCUUUAGUUAUCCCGGUGCCCUGUGUCAACUCAAAACGUUGACCUUUCAUGGUUGUUUUGAUUUGGGGGAAGAACAAGAAGUCACCCGGUGCCAGAUCUGCUGCGAAAGGUGGACGAGGACACUGAUGUUUGCGUGAGCCUGCAUUCCUGCUGGGCGGCCCUCGGCGGCAGCAUUCGCUGUAUACUUUUUAAACCCACCUCAUGAAAUCACUCACGAAAGCGGACUCCAGAACUGCUUCAGAAAGUGGAGACAAUGGUGGGGUAAGUGUGUUUGAAGCCAGGGGAGGCGUUUGGAAGGGUAUUAGGGGCUAUGUGUCUGUUACUGUAAUAACUUAUAAAAAUUUAAGCAUUUGCCCUAUAUUGGACCAUCCUGUAUAUAAUGUUGCUUUUCAUUUUAGCGUGUCAUCUGAUUGGCCGUCUUAAGUGAAGUCUUUGUGGGAACCGUGAGUAUUCUUACGUGUCACUAAGUUUUAGACAAAGAGAAAGCAGGGGGUUAUUUUCAGAAUCAAUUCCAUCUGCUCAGGCCUUUGCUUAUGAUCUUCAGUGUCCAACGAGACCUAAUUAUUUGGACUUCAUUAACACCUUUUAAAUCAGAAUUUCUACCUCUCAGAACAGGGUCCUGUGGAACUGGCCAUAAUACAAUGUGACUGCCAUCUUGUGGUUUUUGACUGCUCUGCAAACCUGAGAGUAGAAAAUAGGGUUUUUAGGAAGUAAUGGUUGUUAAAGGCAUACCAAUUCAUUUUUAAGAAGUUAUUUUACCAGAAAAAUGUCAGGCCUAUGUUGGACAUUUGUCAGUGCAGUGAGAGAGAAUGAUUUGCUCCUGAGGACGGAGGCGUGGAUGGUUAGAGGACUGUGUCGGUGUGGGGUGAGCAGAGCAGGUUCGAUCUGGAUUCCUAUAAUGGUACUGGAGUCUCGUGGCAUUGCAGCAAGGCAGUGUUUUGCUUGACUCUGAUUUUAGCUUCUGUCCGAUGUGAUGCUCCAUGAUUUGUGGUAUAAUAUGGUCCUGCAAUCUGUAGAUUAUCUUUGAAACAUAUGUCUUUUUUCAUAGGAGGGCUUUGGGCCUUCAUGCUAGGGAGCUCUUGCCUGUUUAAAUCCCUUUGCUUCUCAGUGUUCCCUAUUAUCUUUGUGUUGUUCUGUGAUUACCUUAAUGCCAGUGUUGUUUGACUACUUCACAGUGAGCUGAUCACCUCACAGUUUUGUCUCCCAGGCCCAGUGACCUCCCAGCACACAGAAGGGGGACGGCAGAGGGUCAUCUCUGACAGGGAAGCCCGAGUCAGGCAUGAGGGGGUGAGAUGUUCUGAAAAUACUGUCCCACUGAAAACCAUCACACACAGGGUAAAUUCUAGCAAAC